AAAAAAACAACCCAACCAAACAGUUGUGCUACCCCACCUCCUGUCCAGUCUGCACACCCACUUGGUGCAAUCACAUGAGAGGGAGCAUCGUCUCUGCAAUGUAAAAGCCUCUGGAAAUACAAGUUUUACACGAUGAACCAACAGCAGUCAUUCACCUGCGGCUAAAUUCUCAGUGUUUGUUCUGCACAACAUUUUUCCCCAGGUGAUAAGCCUGCAAGUCUACUGGAGAAAAAGCACGGUGAAGUGCAGGUGGGAAAUGCAUAAAGCAGCUUUCACCGUGGUGUAAUUGGGAGGGCUAACUUUAUUCUGCUGUGCAGCUUAUCUCAGCAAGCUCUGCCUUUUCCUAAGACGACUGCGACAUGCCAAGGUGUUCCAGGAAAAACAAAACAGAACGUGAAACCACCUCACUUACAGGGACGACGCAGACUAAGUUCAGAAGAGACGAGGAAGACUUAGGUUUUUGCUCAGGCAUAACAGAUAUGUCUAAGCAUCAGUCAUCAAUUCUGCCACCACUCGUAAAAGGUGCAACACCAAUACAUUCACUCAGAGACAGCUGGGAGUCACUUUUCUGGUUUCUGGUGUAUGCCCUCCCCCGUGCAAGCAAGGAUACAGACAGGUCUUCUAAAGAUGGCUGGGAAUCAGACAGCCUGUGUUUCUGCUAAGGAAUGACUUCCUGACUACCCUUGCACAAAUCUCACCCACCUCACAUCCCAUUUUGGAGCUUCAGAAUGAAAAUGCUACUUUUGUCUUCCUGCCAUCUUAGUUGGAAUGCAAAUCUGAUGAGUUCUUCAGUCUUUCCCAGCUGUCAUUCCACAAUGAAAAAUGAUGCACUGGAGAGAAAGGAAUGUUAUAGCCUUCAUUUCCUCAGUAGCCUCCUUUAUAAGAACAGAAUCUGGCCUGGCAGUCCUCCUUCAUAAAAUGUAGUAGGACCUGACUGACACUACAGGAGUUAUCACAUUUGAGUUGCAGCUUGGACCACUGUAAUUCAUAACAAAACUCUGCCUUCUCACAUUUUUAAAAUAAGACAAAGUCAAAAUACUUGCAUAUCAUAAUUCAUGUACUGUCCUGUUGCUAUUUUAUCACUAGAAUUUGACAGCAGGGGCUGCCUCAAGCACUGAAGUCUUCACUGUAGCAAUUACUGUGCAGUUGCUUUCAGAAACAGCAGAAGAGCAACAAAAGCCAUCUUGUGACAAAAACAGGGACAAAGGUACCAGAAAUUUGAUAGCUCUACCCUGUUUUGUUUAGAUAAGCCCAUAUCACCCCUCAUGCUCAGCUACCAUUGGCUUUCUAUAUUUACUUCUGCAUUUCAUUUUCACUUCUUUAAGUUGACUUAUUGCACAGCCGUGUGUUCGCUCAUAGCAGCCCCCAGGACAGGUGGGGAAUAGCCACCUCAGUACAGCCAGGGAAGGGCCACACUUCUAGGAUGCGGUGUAGAAAAACAUCGCAUUACUGAUGAAUGCUAAGAAUAGCUUGAAUGGCAAUUAAAAAGACAAGCACAAGGAUUUCAGUGAGCUGUAAGGCCUUGUUAACAGCAGCGUUAAGAUCUUACGUUAAGUUGAAAUACAAUAAUUGCAGAUGCCUGAAAGCUGUACAAGUUAUUCUAUAGCUGCUGAGCUUCAUUUUGCCAACAUGCAAUAAGGACUAGCUGCUCCUUUACAAGAAGCCAGGUACAGUAACAAGGCUAGAAGCGCUAGCCUCCUAUUACCUGAGCAAGGCAGGCUUAAUAACAGCAAGCUGAUUUAAUCAAGUAUCCAGAUUAUCCAGCAACUUGCAGUGAUGAUGCAGGCCCAAGGUCAAGCCAGGAAAUCAAUCUACAGGUCAGGUCAAAUCCAGUGGGACCAACCACAGUCAGACAAAACUCAGUAAGUACCCAGCAGACGCAAGACGACAGAAUAAGCCCAAAAUCAAGAUAAAAAUUCACCUUGUAGAUCAGCCAGGAAGUCUGUGACUGAUUUAGAGAUCAGCACUAAUGCAACAAAGCCCAAAGAUCACAAAGAACUAAACCUGAGUUUAAGGAUUGCUCCUGGGCUGAGGGCCAGAGGGUGUGGGUCUCAGGUGAGGUUGGUUAGUCACAUUUCAUUCAUUUACAGUAAACAAAAGAAACCCAGCACCACCCUUCUUCAGCAAAUCCAGUUUCUCUAUCACUGUAUUUAUAAAAAAACAAAGAUUUCUGAAGAAGUGUAUUGCCUCAAAUGGAUAUCACAGGACUACCUAGGCUCCAUUGCUCUGCAAUCUAAUUUUCAAGCAGUUGUUGGCAUAGCUGGCUCUGCCCAGGACUAGUGACUCCUCAGCAGGCAAUCACAUUGCUCUCAGCCUACUGACAAGCUCUGAACUGUGCUCAUCUGCAGCCAUUUCAGCUGCUUCUGGGAAAAUCACAGGAGCACUGUGUGUUGCUUGAAUUGGUGUGGCCAGUUCUGUUGCUCCUAACAAUAUCCAGCAGCACCUUGCGGACCAGACUAUGUCUAUGUCCUCCUCAAAUCAUGGGUCUUAAUGAUGUCUCCACUAGGGAAUCCACGAGAGCAAUGUGUUGGAGAUUCUUGGCUAUUAUCCCCAUCUGUUUUAUUACAUAUAUAUUUUUUUAAUAUCGUUGCUUAAAAAUGCAUUUCCUAGAGAUAUUAGCAAUUAAUUGCUAUCUACUAGAUAAUAUAAUUAAUCAUAAAAAUGAAAGAUGUGUUAUCAAGGAACUUUCCCAGUGCUGAGAAUUGCUCUGAUCAAGUGAUAGGAAGUGAAUUAAGAGGUGAAAUAUUGAUAUUAUAACAAAUACUUCUUCUAAAGUAGAACUAAGGGAGAGAAGUAUGAGAAACAUGGACCGUUACGGGCUCUAUGAAGAGUCAACAGGUGAAAAAUACUUUUCUAUAGAGUCAGAAAGUUUUUGUAUAUUUUUCACCACAGAUGAUAAAGAAAGGAAAGAGAUAAGUGCAGAGGAAGAUACAUACAACAAAAUAAAGAGAAAUGCGCAAGAAGGCUUUCAAAGGACUUGGACUCUGCUGUACUGUGUCAGAAAUCCUCUCAUUUCACUAAAUAAAAGUAUUCCCUAUAAAAUAUCAAGUAUGUACUGGAUAUCUUGCUGCAGAAAAAAUAAGACGACAAGGCACUGUAGUUUUGUUGUGUGAUAUAAUAAUUAAGUAUCAUAGAAUCAUAGAAUCGCUAAGGUUGGAAAAGACCCACAGGAUCAUCCAGUCCAACCAUUCACCCUUCACCAGUGGUUCUCGCUAAACCAUGUCCCUCAACACAACAUCCAAACGCUCUUUGAACACCACCAGGCUCGGUGACUCCACCACCUCCCUGGGCAGCCCAUUCCAGUGCCUGACCACCCUUUCAGAGAAGUAGUAUUUCCUAACGUCCAGCCUGAACCUUCCCUGGCGCAGCUUGAAGCCAUUCCCUCUAGUCCUAUCACUGUCACCUGAG
rnacentral:lncRNA from 1 species